rnacentral:rRNA from 1 species
CGAACGCUGGCGGCGUGCCUAAUACAUGCAAGUCGAGCGGACAGAUGGGAGCUUGCUCCCUGAUGUUAGCGGCGGACGGGUGAGUAACACGUGGGUAACCUGCCUGUAAGACUGGGAUAACUCCGGGAAACCGGGGCUAAUACCGGAUGGUUGUUUGAACCGCAUGGUUCAAACAUAAAAGGUGGCUUCGGCUACCACUUACAGAUGGACCCGCGGCGCAUUAGCUAGUUGGUGAGGUAACGGCUCACCAAGGCAACGAUGCGUAGCCGACCUGAGAGGGUGAUCGGCCACACUGGGACUGAGACACGGCCCAGACUCCUACGGGAGGCAGCAGUAGGGAAUCUUCCGCAAUGGACGAAAGUCUGACGGAGCAACGCCGCGUGAGUGAUGAAGGUUUUCGGAUCGUAAAGCUCUGUUGUUAGGGAAGAACAAGUACCGUUCGAAUAGGGCGGUACCUUGACGGUACCUAACCAGAAAGCCACGGCUAACUACGUGCCAGCAGCCGCGGUAAUACGUAGGUGGCAAGCGUUGUCCGGAAUUAUUGGGCGUAAAGGGCUCGCAGGCGGUUUCUUAAGUCUGAUGUGAAAGCCCCCGGCUCAACCGGGGAGGGUCAUUGGAAACUGGGGAACUUGAGUGCAGAAGAGGAGAGUGGAAUUCCACGUGUAGCGGUGAAAUGCGUAGAGAUGUGGAGGAACACCAGUGGCGAAGGCGACUCUCUGGUCUGUAACUGACGCUGAGGAGCGAAAGCGUGGGGAGCGAACAGGAUUAGAUACCCUGGUAGUCCACGCCGUAAACGAUGAGUGCUAAGUGUUAGGGGGUUUCCGCCCCUUAGUGCUGCAGCUAACGCAUAA